CUCGUUCUUAGACGACCAGACAGUGGACCUAAGUCUGGGUGAGCCUUAGGCAGCUGCACCAUUCGCCCUUUGUCCCUCAUCUGAACUCCUGCCACCGUUGCAACAACCACUCGGAUGAACCACUUGGGGACCGAGUGGUCAGGCAGGUCUCGCCUUUGUGAAACAGAGGAGGAGAACGCGCGCCUGGAGAACUUGGUGCCCAUCUUCCGCUGGUGACUUUCCAGACUCCCGGCUCUGCGCACGAUGGCUCCACGGACGCCCUGCUAACGGAGAAAUGCUGAGAAAGCCGACCUUUGGACAGACACUGCGCCGUUUCUUACACAUUUGUCACCUGUUUGCCUCCGGGAUGACCUGCUUGAACUUACUUUCCCUGAGAAUCCCAGGAAGGGGACAGUCGGGCGGGAAGUGACCGACCAAAGGUGGCAGUGACAUUUCUUCGGUUUCCAGUGUGAAUUACAGAAAACAGCAGCAGUUGCGUGAGUAGCCAUGAUUCUAUUGUCAGAUGGCAGGUUAGCUACAGGUGAUUUAAGGUAUUCAAAAGGAAAUGUAUAAGCUCUGUGGAAAAACUCCACCACUCCACACAAAGGCUUGAGCACCCCCGGACUGGGA
rnacentral:lncRNA from 1 species